AGCAAGAUGACACGACGUUUUUGACUGAAUGUUUUUACCUCAGAGAAAAAUUGCCACGCGAGGAGAACAACAGACAGGAUAAGAACAAAACGACAUAGAAAUCCAACCACAAGGUGAGUCCAUCAUGGCCUCCAGCAUCUCCAGGAAGAGUUUGUGCAUUGGCACGCCGCCACGGGUUUUGAUGCUGUAGAAGGUGGUGAGGGCUCGACCGGCUGUCUGCCUGAGAAGAGGCAGGGUGAGGAGGAGACGUCCUGCGCGCUGAGGGUCAUCUGGACGCCGCUGGACCUCGAGCUCCAGAAGAGCCUGAUGAAGCAGGUCUCGGAGCUUCUGCACCGCCUCCAUGUCCUCGAUGUACACCGAAUCUGAGAGAGGGGAAGAACAGGAGAAAUCUGAGAUAAGUCAUGUGUGCCAGCCUUUGAACUUCAACUACAGUAUGCAUAUGCAUGCAACUGCAGAGCAAAGACUGUCGGAGCAGGCCUCAAAAGGUGACCUUGUUCAGCAAGCCUUGACAAUUGAAAGGUUAAUUGCUCAACUGGAUUACAACUUCUUAAGGGCAGAGAUUCCCAGUCACGUCCAAGAGGUGGUCAGCAGCACUUUUAAAGUGUUUCAGUAUAUAUGAUAUCAACACAAUCAUUAGAUAUAGACUUAUUUAAAUAGCACAUAUGUAACCUACAUAGUAGACGUAUAUAUCGCCAGUAUUAAUGUUUACUUGGAUUAAUGCUUGAUACACUUUUUGUACAUGCAAUUCAGCCUUGACCUGUCUGUGAACUCUGAAAUCAUUUACAGCUGAGUUUAAAGGUGAAACACCAAACUCUACAUUUGUAUUUCAUGAUCAUCGAUAAUAAAUCUGCAAGUAAAAAAACAAAUAA